AGUUUUGUGCAACAGGCCCCUGGAGGUCGAGCCUGUCGUGUUGUUGACAAAAAAACGUAACAAAUAUCGUUUUUUACUGGGCAAAAUGGGUCAGUCGUUGCCGACCCCGGACUGCGAGCCCUCGGUGUGUCCUUUGUGCCACGGUAUAUGUCGGAAUCCGACCGCGCUGAGAUGCAAACAUAUUUUCUGCUACUGCUGUAUACAGGAGUUAUGGAGUGGUUCGCCCACCGGUCCAUACUACUGCCCCGAGUGCAAGGAGGAGUACAAGACAUUACCGGUGGGGUUCAAGAGAGACACUACCGCAAGUCCGUGGCGACAUGACGCGCCUGCACAUACACGCACCACCGCAGCCACAGGCAGAGCCAAUGAAGAGGAUGUCAUUGAGAUAAAUUCGGCGGGCUGGAACCUUGGGAAGAGAGCCUCCAUCUCUCAAUCCAAGCGUCUGUUAGGGAAGAGACCAGCCAGUUCUCCUGUCCCAGGAGGCCAUCUUCACGACAACAAGAGACAAGCCACUGGCAGCUCCUCUUCCUCCCACUCCAGGGGACAGUCUGGUGACCGUAAGAGACCCGCCACUUCCUCUUCCUCCUCUUCAGCCAAUCAGAACACGUCGUCUGACGUCGAGUUGUCCAGUGAGGAGGAGGUGCCAGCAGCACCAUUCUCCUUAGCAACCAAACCGUCUAGUACUGCGUCCGUCGCCGUCAGAGGUCCGGACCUGACACGUGAUAGGUCUAGGUCCCCUAGGAGAGACACACCCAUUGAGCUGGAUGAACCCCUGCUGCAACAGAACCUCUUACAAGAGAACCCCUGAAUGACCCUAGAAAAUCACCUGAAGCAGCAGCAGGUCACAUGACCAACACACCGGCCAAGAAUCCUGCUGAAACCACCCAAACAACUCAUUUACGUUUAGUCACCCCUACGAAGGAGAAUCCUGCUGAAACCACCCAAACAACUCAUUUACGUUUAGUCACCCCUACGAAGGAGAAUCCUGCUGAAACCACCCAAACAACUCAUUUACGUUUAGUCACCCCUACGAAGGAGAAGCCUGUUGAAGCUGAGCGGGAGCCUCUUCCAGAGAUCUCCAACAGAUCUGGUCCAAUCGGCACCUCCACCUCUCCUGCCCGUGCUGCCAACAACCUGUCCCCUGGACGUACCAACCUGUCCCCCGGCCUGGCUCGUCAAACCUCCGGGGAGACCUUCCUACCCUGCCACUAUUGCCCCAGCCAGGGCUCUCUCCCUGCGGUGAAGACCUGCCUAGUGUGUGGAGCCUCCAUGUGCUCCGAACACCUCCGGCCUCACCUGGAGUCCCCUGUCUUCCAGAGCCACACCCUGGUACCCCCUGUGGAGGACACCUCACCCUGGAGGUGCCCGGAACACCAGGAGAUGAACCGAAUCUACUGCCGUCAGUGUAGUGUGUGUGUCUGUACCGUGUGUACCGUGAUCGGGUCGCACCGGGACCACGCUUGCGUCGGCAUCAGAGAGGCCGAGAGGGAGCUGAGGGGGAACCUGAAACAGGAGAUGAAGAAGAUGCAGGGAACAGAACAGUCUUUAAUUAGCAGAGUGACUGAGAUGACAGACAGGAAACAGAGAUUCCAGGUAAGAAGGACAGGACCUCAGUUGGACCAGGGAUUUUUUUUUUUUUUUUUAGGUCUGACCUGACGCAAAAGCCUAAUAAUGUAGACACCCUGUAUCCCUCUAAAUCAAAUGUUACAGUUCACCUUGCAGUGAAAUGCUGAAUACAACAGGUGUAGUAUACCUUACAGUGAAAUGCUGAAUACAACAGGUGUAGUAGACCUCACAGUGAAAUGCUGAAUACAACAGGUGUAGUAGACCUCACAGUGAAAUGCUGAAUACAACAGGUGUAGUAGACCUCACAGUGAAAUGCUGAAUACAACAGGUGUAGUAGACCUCACAGUGAAAUGCUGAAUACAACAGGUGUAGUAGACCUCACAGUGAAAUGCUGAAUACAACAGGUGUAGUAGACCUCACAGUGAAAUGCUGAAUACAACAGGUGUAGUAGACCUCACAGUGAAAUGCUGAAUACAACAGGUGUAGUAGACCUCACAGUGAAAUGCUGAAUACAACAGGUGAAGUAGACCUUACAGUGAAAUGUUGAUACAGGGGGUACCGGUACAGAGUCAAUGUGGAGACUAUAUACAGGGGGUACCGGUACAGAGUCAAUGUGGA